rnacentral:rRNA from 1 species
UACGUAGGGUGCAAGCGUUGUCCGGAAUUAUUGGGCGUAAAGAGCUCGUAGGCGGUUUGUCGCGUCUGCUGUGAAAACUCGGGGCUUAACUCCGGGCCUGCAGUGGGUACGGGCAGACUAGAGUGCGGUAGGGGAGACUGGAAUUCCUGGUGUAGCGGUGAAAUGCGCAGAUAUCAGGAGGAACACCGGUGGCGAAGGCGGGUCUCUGGGCCUGUUCUGACGCUGAGGAGCGAAAGCGUGGGGAGCGAACAGG